CUAAGAAUCUUCCGCAAUGGGGGAAACCCUGACAGAGCGACGCCGCGUGGACGAUGAAGGCCGUAAGGUUGUAAAGUCCUUUUGCAGGUGAAGAAUAAGCCGGGGAGUGGAAUGCCCUGGUGAUGACGUUAGCCUGCGAAUAAGCCCCGGCCAAUUACGUGCCAGCAGCCGCGGUAAUACGUAUGGGGCGAGCGUUGUUCGGAGUUAUUGGGCGUAAAGGGCGUGUAGGCGGCUCGAGAAGUCUGGUGUGAAAUCGCAGGGCUCAACCCUGCGGGUGCGCUGGAAACUGACGGGCUUGAGUCCCGGGGGGGAAGCUGGAAUUCCUGGUGUAGGAGUGAAAUCUGUAGAGAUCAGGAAGAACACCGGUGGCGAAGGCGAGCUUCUAUUCGAGGACUGACGCUGAGGCGCGAAAGCGUGGGGAGCAAACA
rnacentral:rRNA from 1 species